UUUCAGUUAAGGGGGCUAUGCCAUUGGAUGAAGGGUUGGCAAUUAGAUUCAAUACAUCUAAUGUGAUCAAGUGGAAGGAAGCAAAACUGCAAAACAGAACCAGGGGUUGCAAAAUACAAAAAUAAAUUGAAGUGAACUAGUAGCUAGAGCGGUUUGAUGACCGGUCCGAUUUUCCGAACCUUG